CUACGGGAGGCUGCAGUGGGGAAUAUUGGACAAUGGGCGAAAGCCUGAUCCAGCCAUGCCGCGUGUGUGAAGAAGGCCUUCGGGUUGUAAAGCACUUUCAGUGGGGAAGAAAGCCUUGGGGCUAAUACCCUCGAGGAAGGACAUCACCCACAGAAGAAGCACCGGCUAACUCCGUGCCAGCAGCCGCGGUAAUACGGAGGGUGCGAGCGUUAAUCGGAAUUACUGGGCGUAAAGCGCGCGUAGGCGGUCUGAUAAGCCGGUUGUGAAAGCCCCGGGCUCAACCUGGGAACGGCAUCCGGAACUGUCAGGCUAGAGUGCAGGAGAGGAAGGUAGAAUUCCCGGUGUAGCGGUGAAAUGCGUAGAGAUCGGGAGGAAUACCAGUGGCGAAGGCGGCCUUCUGGACUGACACUGACGCUGAGGUGCGAAAGCGUGGGUAGCAAACAGGAUUACAUACCCGAGUAGUC
rnacentral:rRNA from 1 species